GUAGGUGAACCUGCGGAAGGAUCAUUAGUGAAAUUUGUAGUCUUCGGACUCUCUUCUCUAUCCAUUACCAACACCUGUGCACCUUAUUAGUAAGUGUUAGCAAUAACCUUACUACUAUCAAUAUUAACAAUGUUAUAAGAAUGUAUUAGUACUUGUUGUAAUGACAAGGACAACCUAAUAAAACUUUCAACAACGGAUCUCUUGGCUCUG
rnacentral:misc_RNA from 1 species